UUUUAAAAGUCGAUUUGAAGUGAAUUUGAAAUUUGACCUUUCUUUAUUAUUUUAAUUCAUGUAUUAUUUUACUUUUGAAAAAUACCAAAAAUAUUUUAUUUAUUUCUUGACUUCUAAUCUUCAUCUUACUUCUGUUUACUAUUGUUUGACCUUGAUCUCCUCUAUCUUUGGUCAAUGAUUGUUGAUUAUCUCAUUUCAUUUCCAUUAAUGCACUUUAA
rnacentral:lncRNA from 1 species